GGCGGAAUGUGUAAUGUAGCGGUGAAAUGCUUAGAUAUUACACAGAACACCGAUUGCGUAGGCAGCUUACUAAACUAUUACUGACGCUGAGGCACGAAAGCGUGGGGAGCGAACAGGAUUAGAUACCCUGGUAGUCCACGCUGUAAACGAUGAUUACUCGUUGUUGGCGAUAUAUAGUCAGCGACUGAGCGAAAGCAUUAAGUAAUCCACCUGGGGAGUACGGUCGCAAGAUUGAAACUCAAAGGAAUUGACGGGGGCCCGCACAAGCGGUGGAACAUGUGGUUUAAUUCGAUGAUACGCGAGGAACCUUACCUGGGCUUAAAUGCAGGACGACGUUCUGGGAAACCAGUUCUCCCUUCGGGGCGGACUGCAAGGUGCUGCAUGGUUGUCGUCAGCUCGUGCCGUGAGGUGUCGGGUUAAGUCCCAUAACGAGCGCAACCCUCAUUGUUAGUUGCCAGCUGGUAAAGCAGGGGACUCUAACGAAACUGCCGGUGUAAACCGCGAGGAAGGUGAGGAUGACGUCAAAUCAGCACGGCCCUUAUGUCCAGGGCUACACACGUGUUACAAUGGCCAGUACAAAGGGCAGCUACGCAGCGAUGCGAUGCUAAUCUCAAAAGCUGGUCUCAGUUCGGAUUGGAGUCUGCAACUCGACUGCAUGAAGCUGGAAUCGCUAGUAAUCGCGCAUCAGCCAUGGCGCGGUGAAUACGUUCCCGGGCCUUGUACACAC
rnacentral:rRNA from 1 species